CUUUAUUCUGAUACAUGGUCUUGAAGACGUGGAGAGAAUGGGAUGUGAUUAGAACUCUAAAUUUUAUUUUCUAUCUUUCUCAAUUGGCUAGGCAUUCAGACAAAUUUUUUAAAAAAUGCAUUUAUUGUUUUUAUGUGCCAGUGCCUGUUCUAGACUUUUGGGCAACAGCAGAGAAAUAACUGUCUCAACUUUAUGGAGCUCACAUUCCAGUGAGGAAGAGACAGUACAAAAUAAACACAUGAAUGUUCAAUUUGUCAGACGGUGAUGAGUGCUAUGGAGAGUGACCGCACAUGGUGAGGGGAUCUGAGUGCCUACGCCCUGCCUUCCUGCUCCUUACUGGGCUGUCUGUGCUCCUGCCUAAAGCCAGCCCUCACUUGUUCCCUGGAUCCUAUUCCCUCCUACCUACCCAGCAACACCCUUCCUCUAGCAGCAGACUUGUCCAGUGGCUCCCCAUUUCUCUCUGAAUAGAAGCCAAAGUCCUUAUAUGGCUUACAAGGCCCUCUCUGAUCUGCCUCCCCAAUCCUGACCCCUCUAACCUCUUAACUCCCUUUUCCCUGGCUCACUCUGCUCCAGCCAUGCGGGCCUCCUCCCUGCUCAGACACAUAGGCACAGUUGUGACUCAGGGCCUGUAUAUUCGCUGCUUUCUUUGCCUGGAACUCUUCUCAGUAUUCAGAUGGCUCACCCCUCCGCUGCUUCAAGGAUUUGCUUGAUUGUCAUUGCUACGGACUGAACUGUGUUGCCCCAAAUUCAUAUGCUGAAGUCCUAAUCCCCAGUGUGAAUGAAUUUGGAGAAGGGGCUUUGAGGAGAUGAUUAGAUUUAUAUGAGGUCAUAACAGCAGGGUCCUCAUGAUGAGAUUAGUGGCCUUAUAAGGAGAGAUAUCAGAGAGUUAGCACUCUCUAGUGCAAUCUCUCUCUCUCUCUCUCUCUCUUUCUGUUAUAUGAAGACACAGGGAGAAGUCAGCUUCUACAGGCCAGGAAGAGGGCCUUCACCAGACUCCAAUCAUGCUGAUACUCUGACCUUAGACUUCCAGCCUCCAGAACUGUGAGAAAAUACAUUUCCAUUGUUUAAGCCGCCUGUUCUAUGGUAUUUUGUUGUGGCAGCCUAAGCUAAGACUGCCAUUUUUUCAGUGAGGCCUACUCUGACAAUCUUAUUUAAAUCAACCACUUCUCCACCUCCACACACUACUGGCAAUUUCAGUUCCCCUUAGGCUAACUUUUUUUUUUUUUUAAACAGUAGCACUCUCUAACAUAGUAUUUCAUUUUAUGUUUUCUAUUUCAUGCUUUUAUUUCCCUCCUACUAGAUUUUAAGUACUGUGAGGACAUAAAUAUUUGUUUUGUUCACUGAUGUAUCUCAAUGCUUAGAACAGUGUCUGGUGCAUAGUAGAAGCUCAAUAAAUGUUUGUUGAAUGAAUGAACAAAUGAAAGAGGUGGCUGGGGGUAUGCUGUUUUAUAUAAGGUGGAUCAAGGAAGGGCUCUCUGAUAAGAGAAUGUUUAAGCAGAGAUGGAAUGAAGUGAGGGCCAGAAUCUUGCUCAUAUCUGGGGAAAGCAUCUCUGGGCACAGGAAGAGCCAGUGUUAAGGCCCUGAGCCAGGAACAUGCUUGGUCCUUGGAGGAACACCAGAUCUGCUUGUGACUGAAGUCCAGUGAGAGUAGGAAAGAGGAGAUGGGGAGUGAAAACAGCAGACCAAUCGGGAUCCAGGGAACAGCACUGCUCUCUAGAGGCAUUUUGGAAAUUUAUGGGGCUUUUUGUUGACUUAAGGUUAAGCAGUCUUCAAUUGUGUGGCCUAUACCCUGGUCUACAAAGCCUUUCCAACAGUGUGCAGGCAUGGAUAGGUUGAAGACAGUCCAUUUCCUGAGCUCCAGCUUCCAUAUGUACCCCUUCCUAAAAUCAUCCCGAGAACAUAACUGCAGAUCCCCCAUCCCAGUUGCCCCUGUGAUGCUCCACAGAGGAAGGGCACAGCUUGCAC
rnacentral:lncRNA from 10 species